GGAGUUAGCCGGUGCUUCUUCUGUGAGUGAUGUCCUUCCUGCCGGCUAUUAACCCGCAGGCCUUCUUCCUCACUGAAAGUGCUUUACAACCCGAAGGCCUUCUUCACACACGCGGCAUGGCUGGAUCAGGGUUGCCCCCAUUGUCCAAUAUUCCCCACUGCUGCCUCCCGUAGGAGUCUGGGCCGUGUCUCAGUCCCAGUGUGGCUGAUCAUCCUCUCAGACCAGCUACGGAUCGUCGCCUUGGUGAGCCGUUACCUCACCAACCAGCUAAUCCGACAUAGGCUCAUCCGAUAGCGCGAGGCCCGAAGGUCCCCCGCUUUCCCCCGUAGGGCGUAUGCGGUAUUAGCCUGGGUUUCCCCAGGUUAUCCCCCACUACCGGGCAGAUUCCUAUGCAUUACUCACCCGUCCGCCGACUCGCCACCAGGGAGCAAGCUCCCCGUGCUGCCGCUCGACUUGCAUGUGUUAGGCCUGCCGCCAGCGUUCAAUCUGAGCCAGGAUCGAAACUCUGA
rnacentral:rRNA from 1 species